UUUGUACUCCCUCCGUCCCAAAAUUCUUGUCUUAAAUUUGUCUAAAUACGGAUGUAUCUAGUUACAUUUUAGUGUUAGAUACAUCCGUAUCUAAACAAAUGUAAGACAAGAAUUUUGGGACGGAGGGAAUACUGC
rnacentral:pre_miRNA from 1 species